rnacentral:tRNA from 1 species
GCCCGCUUGGCUAAGUGGUAUAGCGUGUCACUAGUACCAAAUCUAGAUGUCAUGACAAGAUCAGCGGUUCGAUUCCGCUAGUGGGCA